UACGUAGGGUGCAAGCGUUAAUCGGAAUUACUGGGCGUAAAGCGUGCGCAGGCGGUUUUGUAAGCCAGAUGUGAAAUCCCCGGGCUUAACCUGGGAAUGGCAUUUGGGACUGCAAGGCUGGAGUGCGGCAGAGGAGACUGGAAUUCCUGGUGUAGCAGUGAAAUGCGUAGAUAUCAGGAGGAACACCGAUGGCGAAGGCAGGUCUCUGGGACGGUACUGACGCUGAGGCGCGAAAGCGUGGGGAGCGAACAGG
rnacentral:rRNA from 1 species